rnacentral:sRNA from 1 species
UAAUCUACAUCCCUUCGGCGCAAACAAC